rnacentral:tRNA from 1 species
GCUUCUAAAGGAUAAUAGUUCAU